rnacentral:misc_RNA from 1 species
UGGUUCUGGCAUCGAUGAAGAACGCAGCGAAAUGCGAUAAGUAAUGUGAAUUGCAGAAUUCAGUGAAUCAUCGAAUCUUUGAACGCACAUUGCGCCCGCCAGUAUUCUGGCGGGCAUGCCUGUCCGAGCGUCAUUUCAACCCUCGAACCCCUCCGGGGGUGCGGCGUUGGGGAUCUCGGCCCUCCUUCAGCGAGGCGCCGGCCCCGAAAUGCAGUGGCGGUCUCGCCGCAGCCUCUCCUGCGCAGUAGUUUGCACACUCGCACCGGGAGCGCGGCGCGUCCACGUCCGUAAAACACCCAAAACUUCUGAAAGGUUGACCUCGGAUCAGGUAGGAAUACCCGCUGA